rnacentral:rRNA from 1 species
UACGUAGGGUGCAAGCGUUGUCCGGAAUUAUUGGGCGUAAAGAGCGUGUAGGCGGCUUGGUUAGUCUGCUGUGAAAGUCCAGGGCUCAACCCUGGAAUGCCGGUGGAUACUGUCAAGCUAGAGUCCGGAAGGGGCGAGUGGAAUUCCUGGUGUAGCGGUGAAAUGCGCAGAUAUCAGGAGGAACACCAAUGGCGAAGGCAGCUCGCUGGGACGUGACUGACGCUGAGACGCGAAAGCGUGGGGAGCAAACAGG